rnacentral:rRNA from 1 species
AUUGAACGCUAGCGGGAGGCCUUACACAUGCAAGUCGAACGAGUGGCGGACGGGUGAGUAAUAUAUCGGAAAGUGCCCAGUAGCGGGGGAUAACUACUCGAAAGAGUGGCUAAUACCGCAUACUAUAGGAGCGGCCGAUAUCGGAUUCGCUAGUUGGUGGGGUAAAGGCUCACCAAGGCAACGAUCCUUAGCUGGUCUGAGAGGACGACCAGCCACCCUGCGACUGAGACACGGCCCAGACUCCUCCGUGAGACAGCAGUGGGGCAUUUUGGCCAAUGGGCGAAACCCUGCUCCAGCCAUCCCGCGUGUAUGAGAAGGCCUUCGGGUUGUAAAGUUCUUUUGGCGGGGAAGCGUUAUCUGCAGAAUAAGCACCGGCUAACUCCGUGCCAGCAGCCGCGGUAAUUC